GAGUGCAAGGUGACUGGGGGUGUGGGCCUGCAGGCACCAGGCUGGACCUGCCUUGGGGGCUCGCUGGUCCUGGGGCGCUGGCCUCUCAGUCCCGGGCAAAGAGAAGGUGUGGCUGGGACACAGGCAGCUGGGUGGGUGCUGCCCCAGCUCCAUCCCCAUGCCCAGAGCCUGGUGCCAGCGCCCACACAAGAAACAUGCUGUCCUGGGAGGUGCCCCUGUGGGCUGAGGGGAGCCACACAGCCAUGUUGUAUCCAGCCGGGUCGCCUCCUCUGACCUUGGGAGUCACAGCAGAGCAGGCAGGGCAGUGAAGGUGGAGGGGUGCGGUGGGGCCCACCCUGGUGGCACCGUGCCCACCACAGCCCCGCUGACCUGCAGAGCUGGAUGGCCUUGCUGCGCAGGGAGAUUGGCCACUUCCACGAAAAGAAAGACCUGCCCUUGGACACCAGCGACUCCAGCUCGGACACAGACAGCUUCUACGGCGCAGUUGAGCGGCCUGUGGAUAUCAGCCUUUCCCCGUACCCCACGGACAAUGAAGACUAUGAGCACGACGAUGAGGAUGACUCCUACCUGGAGCCCGACUCCCCGGAGCCCGGAAGGCUUGAGGAUGCCCUGAUGCACCCACCGGCUUACCCACCACCCCCAGUGCCCACGCCCAGGAAGCCAGCCUUCUCUGACAUGCCCCGGGCCCACUCCUUUACCUCCAAGGGCCCCGGUCCCCUACUGCCACCCCCGCCCCCUAAGCACGGCCUCCCAGAUGUUGGCCUGGCUGCUGAGGACUCCAAGAGGGACACACUGUGCCCGAGGCGGGCUGAGCCUUGCCCCAGGGUACCUGCUACCCCCCGAAGGAUGAGCGAUCCCCCUCUGAGCACCAUGCCCACCGCACCCGGCCUCCGGAAACCCCCUUGCUUCCGGGAGAG
rnacentral:sRNA from 1 species